AGGGCGGCGGCUCCACAUGGGCUCUGCGGCCCGCCCCGACGAGCUUGUGGGUCCGGGUGCCAGUGGGCGCCCCCCACCAGCUCCGGGCUCUGCGGCGCUGGGACUGCGGCAGUCCGGACGCCUGCGGCAAGGUCAGUGCCCGCCCGGAGGAGGCGGUCCGGGGGAGGCCUCCGCGGGGAAUGACGCCGCUCCCAGUCCCGCCCGCACCGUGGUGAAGCGGAACCAUCCUGCCGCCCGCACCUGCCUAGAGAGGGGACACAGCAAGGAUCCUAUUGAACUAUAAGCGAUGGCUGCCACCAGGGCAUUUUGGACUCCUGUGUCCAGGGACCAGCCUGAGAGAAGAGCCACCAUAUUGGCAGAAGUAAUUGACCCUGAUCAGCAGGAGAAGGCAUUUCCCCCAGUUUCUUGCAAGUCUAGUCUGAUCUUGGUGUCUACUUCUUGGACUUGAACUGACACAGCUUCAACCAAUGUCUUCUCAGUCUGGGUUCUUGCCUGGAUACAUCUAAAUUGUGAUGCAGUUUCCCAAUUUAUUCCUCACUCUUCGGACACUGAAAUGAGUUGAUGAACAACUUGAAGAUUUUUAAGGUCAGAAUUAGAGUUAUGGAAUUGAAAAAUAUGCCCAAAAAGGUCAUCUGGGAAGUUUCUCUCCAUGUUCCUGACCCUGUCUGAAAGUUUCUCUGUUUCUUUGUCCUGCUUAAAACUUUAGUUCUCUGACAGCAAGAUUUCAUAAAAUAAGACCAGCAGUCACACAAACAGUCACCAACAGUCAUACCAGAAAUCUUCAUGAAUAUCAGGAGUAAAUGUCCCCGAUCUUGAUGGAAAUGUGUUGGGGGCUCUUCUGCUUCUUCUAGGCCCCUUCCUGAGACACUCCCUGGAUUCUGCUCUGGGUGUGAGCACUAGCUGCAAAGCCCUUAAGCUUUCUUUAUUCUGGACACUAGGCCCACUGGCUUCCUGGCACCUCCUUUAAGGGUGCAGCCUCCAUGCUUUGUCAUUUUGUUGGAAAAUCCUAUAAGGGUUAGGAACAAGAGAUGUUGUUUUAGGAGAAAACUCCCAAAUGGUGUCUCUGAUCUCGGGUUCCUUCUGUUUUACCAAAGGAAAAGUCAGCCAGGUCAUCCGCUGACAUGAAGAGACCCAGGCGGGAGUCCACAGCAGCACUUCAGUGCACUGAGAAACCUGCAUAAACAGAUGCCUUGUCCCAAGUGCUGAGAAUUUAAACUUCAGGCUUGCAUGAAGCCCCUAGAUACGUUAGGGAGACAACCAGCAGUUUUUCUAUUUUACAUGGAAAUGCUAAUCUCACUUGCAGAAGAGAAGUACCAAAAUAGUAUUAUGAUUAUAACAGUAGAAAUGUAGGAGUGUGGAAUUUGUAAUGUUAUAGACAAAUUAAGCACGAAAUGCAAAUACCACAUCAGAGUGGGCUGUGUAUCCAGAUCUCAGCUGAAAUUCUCGGAAAGGGUUACAAUGGCUAACUAGUGCAGCUGAAUAAAGGGCUGCGGUGUGAGGAGAUGGAGGGGGUAAAAAUAGGUGAUGUAGAAAGAGGAGGAGGCAGUCUUAGGUUUGUGACAUCUCCUCAGCUCUUCUGGGGAAGUUGUUCAUAGAUUUGAAUAUCUACAGUAAUGAAUUCUCCCACUGAAAUACGUAUACUUGAGAAUUAAUUUAAUAACUGUUACUUGGGAGGAUAAUACAGACUGCUGCUUAUGAUGACGUGACAACUUGAAGACUUAGUACGUUUGGGCUGCUAUAACAAUACCAUAGACUGGAUGGCUUAUAAAUAGCAGG